rnacentral:rRNA from 1 species
GGCAGACGGGUGAGUAACGCGUAAGUAACCUACCCUUAAGCGGGGGACAACUCAGGGAAACUUGAGCUAAUACCGCAUAAGACCACGGGCUGAGAUGCCAGUGGGAAAAGGAGCAAUCCACUUAAGGAUGGGCCUGCGGCCUAUCAGGUAGUUGGUGAGGUAACGGCCCACCAAGCCAGAGACGGGUAGCCGGACUGAGAGGUUGAACGGUCACACUGGAACUGAGAUACGGUCCAGACUCCUACGGGAGGCAGCAGUGGGGAAUAUUGCACAAUGGGGGAAACCCUGAUGCAGCGACGCCGCGUGGAGGAUGAAGGUCUUCGGGUUGUAAACUCCUUUUCUUGGGAAAGAUAAUGACGGUACCCAAGGAAUAAGCCACGGCUAACUCUGUGCCAGCAGCCGCGGUAAGACAGAGGUGGCGAGCGUUGUUCGGAAUUACUGGGCUUAAAGGGCGAGUAGGCGGUGGAGCAAGUCUGAGGUGGAAUCUUAGAGCUUAACCCUAAAACUGCCUUAGAAACUGUUUUACUUGAGUCAGUGAGGGGAGGGCGGAAUUCCUGGUGUAGCGGUGAAAUGCGUAGAUAUCAGGAGGAAGGCCUGUGGCGAAGGCGGCCCUCUGGCACUGUACUGACGCUGAGGCGCGAAAGCGUGGGUAGCAAACAGGAUUAGAUACCCUGGUAGUCCACGCCCUAAACGGUGGGCAUUAGGUGUAGGGCUCGUAAGGGUUCUGUGCCGAAGGGAAACCAUUAAAUGCCCCGCCUGGGAGUACGGCCGCAAGG